rnacentral:rRNA from 1 species
GAAACACGGACCAAGGAGUCUAGCAUGUGCGCGAGUCAUUGGGACUCUGAUAAACCUAAAGGCSCAAUGAAAGUAAAGGUCCSCCUCSCGCGGACCGAGGGAGGAUGGGCCCGUCCGCGGACGGGCCCCGCACUCCCGGGGCGUCUCGUUCUCAUCGCGAGAAGAGGCGCACCCAGAGCGUACACGCUGGGACCCGAAAGAUGGUGAACUAUGCCUGGUCAGGACGAAGUCAGGGGAAACCCUGAUGGAGGUCCGUAGCGAUUCUGACGUGCAAAUCGAUCGUCGGAACUGGGUAUAGG